CUGAUCAGCAUGCCGCGUGCAGGAUGACGGUCUUAUGGAUUGUAAACUGCUUUUGUAAGGGAAGAAUAAGGAGUACGUGUACUUUGAUGACGGUACCUUAUGAAUAAGCAUCGGCUAACUCCGUGCCAGCAGCCGCGGUAAUACGGAGGAUGCGAGCGUUAUCCGGAAUCAUUGGGUUUAAAGGGUCUGUAGGCGGGCUGGUAAGUCAGAGGUGAAAGCGCUUAGCUCAACUGAGCAACUGCCUUUGAAACUGUUGGUCUUGAAUGAUUGUGAAGUAGUUGGAAUGUGUAGUGUAGCGGUGAAAUGCUUAGAUAUUACACAGAACACCGAUAGCGAAGGCAUAUUACUAACAAUUAAUUGACGCUGAUGGACGAAAGCGUGGGGAGCGAACA
rnacentral:rRNA from 1 species